UACGGGGGGGGCAAGCGUUGUUCGGAAUUACUGGGCGUAAAGGGCUCGUAGGCGGCCAACUAAGUCAGACGUGAAAUCCCUCGGCUUAACCGGGGAACUGCAUCUGAUACUGGAUGGCUUGAGAUUGGGAGAGGGAUGCGGAAUUCCAGGUGUAGCGGUGAAAUGCGUAGAUAUCUGGAGGAACACCGGUGGCGAAGGCGGCCCACUGGAUCGGUACUGACGCUGAGGUGCGAAAGCGUGGGGAGCAAACAGGAUUGAGAUACCCGUUAGUAGUCCGA
rnacentral:rRNA from 1 species